GACGAACGCUGGCGGCGUGCUUAACACAUGCAAGUCGAACGGAAAGGCCCUGCUUUUGUGCGGUGCUCGAGUGGCGAACGGGUGAGUAACACGUGAGUAACCUGCCCUUGACUUUGGGAUAACUUCAGGAAACUGGGGCUAUUACCGGAUAGGAGCUCCUGCUGCAUGGUGGGGGUUGGAAAGUUUCGGCGGUUGGGGAUGGACUCGCGGCUUAUCAGCUUGUUGGUCGGGUAGUGGCUUACCAAGGCUUUGACGGGUAGCCGACCUGAGAGGGUGACCGGCCACAAUAGGACUGAGAUACGGCACAGACUCGAACGGUAGGCAGCAGGGGGGAAUACUACACAAUGGGCGGAAGCCAGAUGCAGCAACGCCGCGUGCGGGAUGAUGGCCUUCGAGUUGUAAACCGAUUUCUCCUGUGACGAGGCGUGAGUGACGGUAAUGGGUAAAGAAGCACCGGCUAACUACGUG
rnacentral:rRNA from 1 species